rnacentral:lncRNA from 1 species
UUAUCAUAUCCUUCAUUUAUUCUUCUCUCAGAAAUGAAAAAAAGACAAAACAAAACCCAAAACAGACAAAACAAACAAGAAGCAAAGAACAAAAGAAGCUGGAAGAAAGGAUUGAUGAUGAAGUACAGGAAUGGAGAAAUGUGCUAUGAAGCACGGAGAAAAGCAUUCCAGCUAAAUGAAAGGGAAAUACUGAAUGAAAGAUGGGAAUGCAGGGUAAGCAUGAAGAAAUGGUCAGAACUGGAUACCAAGGCAGAGGAAUUGAGCUCCCAGCUGGUGGACAGCCUAUUUCUAAGAAGGGACACCCAACUUGAGAACAAUGGCUGCAAUUUUUGCUCAUCAGCUUCUCAUGAAAGGAAACACAGUCACAGAACCAAGCUAAGGUGCCUCAAAGCAAAGUAGAGAAUUUUCUGGAAUCAGGGAGUUAUGGGUCCUUGGAGCUCAGGAACAAAUGUCAGAAGUCACAUACAAAGGGUUGACUGAGAUCACCCACAAACUAGAAGCACUAUGUCGGAAUACAGGUGUAAUGACAAGGAGUUAAGAAAGAAAAAGAACCUUUCAGACCAUGUGGGGAAGAAUGAAAAAAAAAAAAAUUGUCAUCAAGGUUCAGCGAAGGGUGCAAAGAGAUCCAGCACGAGAACCCAUCAUUAGCAGUGAGGAAAGGAAUCAGCUGAGGCUGUAUUAUCCCAGAAGACAAGGGGAACUCAAGAAAUAGGAGGACAAGUCAUGUGGUGUGGCCACAAGAAUAAACAAAUAAAUAAAAUAAGAAAUUGGAAGAAA